rnacentral:misc_RNA from 1 species
CUGAGUGAGGGCGCAAGCCCGACCUCCAACCCUUUGUGAACCAACCCAGUUGCUUCGGGGGCGACCCCGCCGUUUCGGCGACGGCGCCCCCGGAGGUCACCCAAACACUGCAUCUUUGCGUCGGAGUCUUAAAGUAAAUUUAAACA